rnacentral:rRNA from 1 species
AUUGAACGCUGGCGGCAGGCCUAACACAUGCAAGUCGAACGAGUGGCGGACGGGUGAGUAAUGUCUGGGAAACUGCCUGAUGGAGGGGGAUAACUACUGGAAACGGUAGCUAAUACCGCAUACCAUCAGAUGUGCCCAGAUGGGCUUAGCUUGUUGGUGGGGUAACGGCUCACCAAGGCGACGAGCCCUAGCUGGUCUGAGAGGAGGACCAGCCACGCUGGAACUGAGACACGGUCCAGACGCCUACGGGAGGAAGGAGUGGGGAAUAUUGAACAAUGGGCGAAAGCCUGAUGAAGCAAUGCCGGGGGUAUGAAGAAGGGCUUCGGGUUGUAAAGUACUUACAGCGGGGAGGCGUAACCCGCAGAAGAAGCACCGGCUAACUCCGUGCCAGCAGCGGCGGUAAUA